rnacentral:rRNA from 1 species
UACGUAGGCAGCAAGCGUUGCUCGGAAUCACUGGGCGUAAAGCGCACGUAGGCGGACUCUUAAGUCGGUGGUGAAAUCCUGGAGCUCAACUCCAGAACUGCCUUCGAUACUGAGAGUCUCGAGUCCGGGAGAGGUGAGUGGAACUGCGAGUGUAGAGGUGAAAUUCGUAGAUAUUCGCAAGAACACCAGUGGCGAAGGCGGCUCACUGGCCCGAUGC